rnacentral:piRNA from 1 species
UAACAGCUUUUGGGAACUCCAAUGCAAG